UACGUAGGUGGCAAGCGUUGUCCGGAAUUAUUGGGCGUAAAGCGCGCGCAGGUGGUUCCUUAAGUCUGAUGUGAAAGCCCACGGCUCAACCGUGGAAGGUCAUUGGAAACUGGGGAACUUGAGUGCAGAAGAGGAAAGUGGAAUUCCUGGUGUAGCGGGUGAAAUGCGCAGAUAUCGGGAGGAACACCAGUGGCGAAGGCGGCUAGGCUGGGCCAGUUCUGACGCUGAGGCGCGAAAGCGUGGGGAGCAAACAGGAAUUAGAUACCCCGUG
rnacentral:rRNA from 1 species